CUACGUGCCAGCAGCCGCGGUAAUACGUAGGUCCCGAGCGUUGUCCGGAUUUAUUGGGCGUAAAGCGAGCGCAGGCGGUUAGAUAAGUCUGAAGUUAAAGGCUGUGGCUUAACCAUAGUACGCUUUGGAAACUGUUUAACUUGAGUGCAAGAGGGGAGAGUGGAAUUCCAUGUGUAGCGGUGAAAUGCGUAGAUAUAUGGAGGAACACCGGUGGCGAAAGCGGCUCUCUGGCUUGUAACUGACGCUGAGGCUCGAAAGCGUGGGGAGCAAMCAGGAUUAGAUACCCUGGUAGUCCACGCCGUAAACGAUGAGUGCUAGGUGUUAGACCCUUUCCGGGGUUUAGUGCCGUAGCUAACGCAUUAAGCACUCCGCCUGGGGAGUACGACCGCAAGGUUGAAACUCAAAGGAAUUGACGGGGGCCCGCACAAGCGGUGGAGCAUGUGGUUUAAUUCGAAGCAACGCGAAGAACCUUACCAGGUCUUGACAUCCCUCUGACCGCUUUAGAGAUAGAGUUUUCCUUCGGGACAGAGG
rnacentral:rRNA from 1 species